rnacentral:lncRNA from 1 species
UAGAAUAUAUGGGUGUAUUGUCAUUCAAGUUCUAUAGAUGGUGUCUGUCUCACUAUCUGUUUGAGUGCCUGAAGGCCCCUGGAGGAGUCGUUCUGUGAGUUGUAUUCAAGCUCGCCCUUAGACCGAGUCAAGUUAGCGAUAAGAGUCAGCUACUUUGGCCUUGUCAUUCGCUUUGUUGCCAUAUAGAUAGGUUGGAGUGCGGGUGGCCACUAAC